GUGGUUUUAGAACGAGAGGUGCGUUUUC
rnacentral:piRNA from 1 species